AUGACGCCUGGGCGUCCAGUUUUCCGGAUCAUCUCGUCGAAAAAGUUCAUUCGCUCGUGUCCAGUGAGCCACCAUCGGAAGCCGGGAGCAUUACGUCGAACACCUUGCGGCCAUGGCGUCCAGGCGAGAGCCGGCAGAUGCCCCGACCCGUGCACACGCCGAGUGCGGAGUGCCGAAGAACGGAAAGGUGGAGAGGCGGAUCCACCGCCGGCCCCCAAGCCAUCAACUCCGAUGACCCCUGCACAGCGAGGCUUCACACAGAUGGCCGCUGAGACGAUCCCACAGACUGCCGGACAGGAAGGCGACUGUUGCGUCCAUGGAUCACCACGAUCUGCUCCAGAUUGGUCAGUAUAUUACCUCCCCUCCCUCCCAGCCCACCCCACCCCAAACACACACAGUGCCACACGGAUCAAGGGUUUGAACCUCUUGGCAUGCCUCCUCGCUAGGCAGCCCCUAACGCUGCUACACUUGUAUAGGUCUCGGCCGGUGGCUACCAAUGAUACAUAUGUAUCAACUAUGGAAGGAAGCGUUGAUUGGUCCCAGAUUGAGAUAGCACCAAUGAAUGAUGAAGAAAUUGAUGUUCCUAUAACAGAAGAGAACAUGUGCUCGGUGCUUGGCAUCAAUGACGAACCUGAGCAUCGGAAAAUUGUAUCUAAAGAAGCUAUGAAAGCCUCCAUUGCAGAUGUUGAUGCAUGUGUGGCUGAUAUUGAUGAGGAUUUACUUGCUGAUGCGGCUCUUCCUGUGCCUGACCAUAUGCCUGAAGAGGAUCACUUUUGGUAUGAUAAGGAACAUCCUAUGAUAGAGGAAGGAUCUUUGUUUCGUUCAAUGAAGGAGUUUAGGAUGCUCAUGAGAACAUUUGCUAUCAGAGGCAAGUUUGACAUCAAGAUCAAGGAUAGUGACACUACUAGAUUUUUGGGUCACUGUAAAGGAAAUGCAUGUCCUUGGAGAAUAACUGCUAGGACAAUAGAAGAUGGAAAAACAGUCAGGGUAAACAAGAUAGUAAAGCUUCAUAAGUGUUCAUCAACCGCUGCAGUGAUUACAAGCAUGGCAGACCAAGCAUGGGUGGCAGAAAAGGCCAUGGGGUAUCUUCAAACUGAACCAAACAUUGGUGCCAGUGAGCUCCGAAAAAAGCUACAGGCCGAGUACAAAUGUACUAUUGGUGAUGUGUCUGCUCACGAGCUCGCUCCAGUUGUUGUUGCGACACCUACACGCACAACAACAAUCACACUGCCUCCCAGCCUUCAUAACAACCCUGGGCCUAUCACAAGGAGGAGGCUUGCUAUGGCCAUAGCUGGAGACGAUGCAUCACGGCCAUCUGGGACAAGUACUGUUAAUUCUACAGCAUCACCUACUUCUCACUUCCCUUCACGCUCUACGGCAUGCAAGAAAAAACUGACCCCAAAGAGGAAGAAGCUCUAA
rnacentral:rRNA from 1 species